UACGAAGGGGGCAAGCGUUGUUCGGAAUUACUGGGCGUAAAGGGCUCGUAGGCGGCCAACUAAGUCGGACGUGAAAUCCCCAGGCUCAACCUGGGAACUGCGUCCGAUACUGGAUGGCUUGAAUCCGGGAGAGGGAUGCAGAAUUCCAGGUGUAGCGGUGAAAUGCGUAGAUAUCUGGAGGAACACCGGUGGCGAAGGCGGCACCCUGGACCGGUAUUGACGCUGAGGCGCGAAAGCCAGGGGAGCAAACGGG
rnacentral:rRNA from 1 species